ensembl:lncRNA
ACUGAGUGACUUCACUUUCACUUUUCACUUUUGUGUAUUUCUUCGAUUGCCGCUUUUUUUUUUUUUUUUUUUGCCUGGCGGGCCAUUGGAGAAGGAGGUAUGGCCUCUGGGUGGGUCUGGACACACCUGAGGGUCACAAAGAGGGAGGGGACUGAUGCUGAAAAUGGGCUCCGGCCGGCCCUGAAAAGGGAGCUCUUUGAAAACAGAGGAAAUCAGAAUCCUUUGCAGCCACCAGGGGGCAGCAAAGCGUCUCCAAUGGGAAGGCAGAGCCUCCAGGCAGGUGAGACCAGUCCCAGGGUCUUCCUUGGCUCCAACCUGCUAGGGGUGCUGAAGUCCCAGAGACAGAUGGCCUCACGAGGUCUUGGCAUGGGGAGAGCCCUAUCCGACCCCUCCCAGUGCUGCAGGAAACAAAGGUCAGUGUGGGGGCCACUUGCAUCACAGCUCAAGGCAGAAUCCACCUCCCUGUUGGGGCUGCGUCAUGACUAUGUGACCCUGGGCAAGUGCCUUCCGCUCUCUUGGCUUCAGACUGCCCCUCUGUGCUGGAGGAGGCCCACUUGCGGCUUCCCACCUCCUUUCCUUGGGCCAGACUGCUCCCUCCACCAGGUGUCUCCUCCGUUUCUCAAGAGGAGGAUUUGAGAGCGGCAGUGGCCUCCUUCUGCCUCGGCUUCACCUUUCCUUUGAUCGCAGGCACGACUUCGGUUGCCAGGAUGUCCCUCCGGAAGCCUCCAGGAUGCAGACUUAUGUUCUUGAUAAUUGCAUUACAAGGCUGUGUUGAUUUCUCCUGCACGACAACCUGAAUCAGCUGGCUGCAGAGCCGACCUAGAGCCGACCCCGAGCCGACCCCGGGCAUGGCAGGG